rnacentral:rRNA from 1 species
UACGUAGGGGGCCAGCGUUGCUCGGAAUUACUGGGCGUAAAGGGUUCGUAGGCGGUGCGGCAAGUUGGGAGUGAAAUCUCUGGGCUUAACUCAGAGGCUGCUUUCAAAACUGCCGCGCUCGAGUGCGAGAGAGGUCAGUGGAAUUGCAGGUGUAGCGGUGAAAUGCGUAGAUAUCUGCAGGAACACCCGUGGCGAAGGCGGCUGACUGGAUCGCAACUGACGCUGAGGAACGAAAGCUAGGGGAGCAAACAGG